GCGCGCGUAGGCGGACUGGAAAGUUGGGGUGAAAUACCCGGGGCUCAACCCCGGAACUGCCUCCAAACUACCCAGUCUUGAGUUCGAGAGAGGUGAGGUGGAAUUCCGAGUGUAGAGGUGAAAAUUCGUAGAUAUUCGGAGGAACACCAGUGGCGAAGGCGGCGUCACCUGGCUACGAUACUGACGCUGAGGUGCGAAAGUGUGGGGAGCAAACAGGAUUAGAUACCCUGGUAG
rnacentral:rRNA from 1 species